rnacentral:rRNA from 1 species
GUGUCAGCCGCCGCGGUAAUACGGAGGGUGCGAGCGUUAAUCGGAAUUACUGGGCGUAAAGCGCACGUAGGCGGUUAGGUAAGUCGGAUGUGAAAGCCCUGGGCUUAACCUGGGAACUGCAUUCGAUACUGCCUGGCUAGAGUAUGGGAGAGGGAAGCGGAAUUUCCGGUGUAGCGGUGAAAUGCGUAGAUAUCGGAAGGAACACCAAUGGCGAAGGCAGCUUCCUGGCCCAAUACUGACGCUCAGGUGCGAAAGCGUGGGGAUCAAACAGGAUUAGAUACCCGAGUAGUCC